CGAAAUAUAUGUGCUGUGU
rnacentral:piRNA from 1 species